AUGAUGAAAGCUGUGUAUGCCAACAACCAUCUGCAGGAAGAACAGAAAGCUCACUGCUGCCCUUCUUUGGUAGCAAAUGAUGUGACCCAAUAUGAUCGUGAAAUGACAGUUCAAGAAGGUGCUACUGUAACCUUGAACUGUAGUUAUACAACCACCAAAUAUGUCCUAAUCUGGUAUUCACAGAAGUCAGAUGAGUCUCUCAAAUUUCUUCUGCAUGAUCACUCUAAGAAAAAUGACCUGGAUGAAGAGUAUCGGGAUCGGUUCUCUGCUUAUCAUGACCCAGAGAAAAAGAUCUUUCAGCUGACGAUAAAAAACAUUCAGUGGUCAGACACAGGGGCGUAUUACUGUGCUCUGGAGCAUGGCACCACAUGCAGCAUACAGUCUGUAGUUACACAAUAA